rnacentral:rRNA from 1 species
GUCUAUGGCCAUGCUAUCUUGAGUAAGCCUGAUCCCAUCUGAUCUUGGAAGAUAAGCAGGGUCGGGCCUGCUUAGUACUUGGAUGGGAGACUACCUAGGAAGACCAGGUGCUGUAGGUG